rnacentral:lncRNA from 1 species
GUCUUAGCUUAUUUGCUUCCGCUGUGCAAUGAAGAUACCAGUCCAGUCACGCCAAUGCUCUGAUAUUUCAGGGUGUGACAACGAACGGACGAGGCCUUAGUGACUUAAUAACAAUGAAAGUCUAUUUGUUCAUGUUUUGUUUCUGAUUUUUCAAUGUAAUGUAAUACAUUUAAUUUAAUAAAACAGAACUUCAAUCCAUGUGUUAU